GACGUAGGGCGCGAGCGUUGUCCGGAUUUAUUGGGCGUAAAGAGCUCGUAGGCGGCUUGUCGCGUCGACUGUGAAAUCCCCGGGGGCUCAACCCCCGGGCCUGCAUUCGAUACGGGCAGACUAGAGUUCGGUAGGGGAGUCUGGAAUUCCUGGUGUAGCGGUGAAAUGCGCAGAUAUCAGGAGGAACACCGGUGGCGAAGGCGGGACUCUGGGCCGAUACUGACGCUGAGGAGCGAAAGCGUGGGGAGCAAACAGG
rnacentral:rRNA from 1 species